CCAGAUCCGCCCCAACCCUAGCGUCGCCGUCGCCCCCCUCCCCGGCCCCACCGCCGCCGCCGCCAUUACAGGGUGAUCGAGGAGGGAGAGGGGGAGAAGCGCGGCCGAUCGCUCGGUCAGGGUGGGGACCAAGGAGUGGAGGAUGUCGAGGAGGGCGGUGAAUCCCGGCCGCCGGGCCUCGGACGGGGGCCUGCCCACCGUCGCCAGCCUGCUCCACCACAAGUCCCGCUCGCCGUCCGUGCUCACCAUUGCCCUGCUCCUGCUGGUAAACCGCCUCUACACCCUCGCACGAGUGCCGGCGCUGCUGCUCAUUGGGAUUCUAGACUCUGACGACGCUUCUGCUGCCGGUUGUUUGUUUGCAAAGGGUUAUGAAACACGUCUACAACUACAUACACAUAUUUUCUGCAAUGUUGUGAUGUCAAAGUGGAAUGCUAGUGCAUGAUUAUGAUAUUCGGUACCUUUGUGUCAACAAAAUUUAACACAAACCUUACUUUUUAUGCAUAGUGGAUCUGGUGCUGGUGAUUCACUACAAAGUACUGGAAUUUUGUGGCCACUGCUAAUGAUAAUAUCAUUCUUUCUACAAGCUGUUGAUACAGUAUUGAAGUAUGAUUGUUGCAGGAAAUAAUAUUUAUAGAUGCUGCGAAGAAUUUGAAGGGUGGCUCAGUUGAUCUUUUUGUCGUCAACUCGUAUGGCUCUGCUUAUCAAGCUAUUUUUAUGUGUCUCUUGUUUCCAUUCUUGUCAAAGUUAUGGGGUAUACCGUUCCAUCUACUGCCAACAUACAUCAGAGAUGGUGCAGCCUGCUUUCUAAAUAUGGGCUCGUUAUCUGCUGAUGAGUACUGCACUCCUCGUGUUAUCAAGUCACUCAAGAAAUAAUCUGCCAGUACUUGCAGUGCCUGAGUUGAUGGUGGUAGGCAACUCUGGCGACAGAGACCCCCAUGCCUGAAGCCUAUUCACUGUAGUCUCUCAUGUAUGGUCAAGCAAUCAUGCAAUUCAGACAAUCACCAUAGUAUCUCGUUUGCUAACUUAAUUGCUAAAAAUAAAUUCUGUUUUGAACCAAUCUGUCUCGAAUUAAAAUCAAGAUAAUUCUGUUAUUUGAUUGACCCAAUCCCAAACGUACUGUUGAAUUCGGCAUGGUUUCUUAGAUAGUAGAUUUUCCGUUAAGGUGUCAGAUGACUAGCUUGAAGAAUACGGAGCCAAAGAAUUAGCUUUGCCUUGUUAAGCUAGCUCCCUUAAUGUGUAAUGUUUAUGUCAUCUCAUGCCAUGACAGUCACUAUUCAAAAUGGGGCAACCAGCAUCAUCCCUCAGUGUGUCAUUUAGUUUGCCAAAUUGCACGGAGUUCGCACCUUAAUCCUUAAACAUCCUGUGUCACAAGUACAUAUGCUAUCAAUAAUACUACAAGUGUCUUAGGUUGCUGCAUGGUCAUGACUGUUUUCUUAGUAUUAGCAUAUUCCUUGCUCCACCGCCCACCUCCUCAACUCCAUCAGGCAAGUACAAAGAAAACCAUCCAUAUAUAGCAUCUCUUCUCUGUUGGCUACCAAGUUGGGGUCAUUGUUGCAACAAGAGUAAAAGUUGUGGAGAUUCAACUAAUCAAGGUUAGCGAGAUAUUGUUAGAAAUAAUCUUAAUCUAGUUACCCACCGUGUUUCUAAAUAUAAGCAUUUUAAGAGGUUUCAAUACGGAUUACAUACUCUAAGAUAUGUGUAUAUACAUCCGCAUGUACGUAGUUCGUAUUGAAAUAUUAAAAAAUGCUUAUAUUUAGAAAUGGAGUGAAUAGUUUCUGUGUCAAACUGCUGCUAUUAAUCGUACGUGUGUUAGUAGCACCCUGAAAUCCAGUGGUUCGUACUAGUUGUAGCUGAGUAGGUUCAUGAUAACAGUGUACACGUACCAAGUUCAGUUUAGUUCUGAGUCUGAGAGAUUUGAUACUCCCUCCGAUUCAUACUAAGUGUCGAUGUACUCCCUCAGUAAGAGAUCUGAACUUCCUGCUAUAUGUUACUACCACUUCUUUUCUGUAAGUGUUAGUACCACUGUCCAUCCAUUUAUUAAUAUCAAUUGUUGUAUUGUAGACCUAAUUGUGUUGGUUCCUCUUUUGCAGAAGCUCAAGUGUGAAGUAUGAAGCCGUGAAGUGUGAACCCAAGUGUGAAGCUGUGAAGUCUUACUCAGUUUAGAGUAGCAUAUUGUAGAACAUAUGUGUUGUAAAGAUUGUAAUAGAUUUAUUUAGUUGUAUAUUUGAUCAAUUUUAUGUGUUCUUAGUUCUAUUUGGAAUUCAUUCUUGGAUUGAAAGUGGUCAAAAAGACAAUAUAUUAGUAUUAAAUUUAGGUUGA